UGCAAGUCGAACGAGGUGCCAACUUCGGUUGGUUACCUAGUGGCGGACGGGUGAGUAACACGUGGGUGACCUGCCCGAAAGUGGGGGAUAACCUCCCGAAAGGGAAGCUAAUACCGCAUGUGGUCGUCAAUUCAUUUUGACGAGUAAAGCCGCAAGGCGCUUUCGGAGGGGCUCGCGGCCGAUUAGCUUGUUGGUGGGGUAAUGGCCUACCAAGGCGACGAUCGGUAGCUGGUCUGAGAGGACGACCAGCCACAUGGGGACUGAGACACGGCCCCAACUCCUACGGGAGGCAGCAGUUGGGAAUAUUGCGCAAUGGGCGAAAGCCUGACGCAGCGACGCCGCGUGGGGGACGAAGGCUCUUGGGUCGUGAACCCCUUUUGCCGGGGAAGAAGAUCUGACGGUACCCGGCGAAUAAGCCACGGCUAACUACGUGCCAGCAGCCGCGGUAAUACGUAGGUGGCAAGCGUUGUCCGGAUUUACUGGGCGUAAAGCGCGUGUAGGCGGCCCGUUUAGUCUGUCGUGAAAUCUCCCGGCUUAACCGGGAUGGGUCGACGGAUACUGGCGAGCUUGAGGGGAGCAGAGGGAGGUGGAAUUCCCGGUGUAGUGGUGAAAUGCGUAGAUAUCGGGAGGAACACCAGUGGCGAAGGCGGCCUUCUGGGCUCUACCUGACGCUGAGACGCGAAAGCGUGGGGAGCGAACCGGAUUAGAUACCCGGGUAGUCCACGCCGUAAACGAUGGAUACUAGGUGUGGGGGGUAUCGACCCCCUCCGUGCCGAAGCUAACGCUCUAAGUAUCCCGCCUGGGGAGUACGGCCGCAAGGCUAAAACUCAAAGGAAUUGACGGGGGCCCGCACAAGCAGCGGAGCGUGUGGUUUAAUUCGAUGCAACGCGAAGAACCUUACCUGGGUUUGACAUGC
rnacentral:rRNA from 1 species